rnacentral:rRNA from 1 species
UACGUAGGGCGCAAGCGUUGUCCGGAAUUAUUGGGCGUAAAGAGCUCGUAGGCGGUUUGUCGCGUCUGCUGUGAAAACCUAAGGCUCAACCUUGGGCUUGCAGUGGGUACGGGCAGACUAGAGUGCGGUAGGGGUGACUGGAAUUCCUGGUGUAGCGGUGGAAUGCGCAGAUAUCAGGAGGAACACCGAUGGCGAAGGCAGGUCACUGGGCCGGCAACUGACGCUGGAGGAGCGGAAAGACAUGGGGAGCGAACAGG